UUAUAAGAUGAACUAACUUUGACUUUUUAUAAUACAUAGUCGUGAUCUGAUUAUAUCAUCGGGUCUGUUUAUACGCAAUAAAAAAAGAACCUGUUCAUUUAUCCAGGUUCUUUUUUUU
rnacentral:sRNA from 20 species